ensembl:lncRNA
CACAUUGAAAAGAAUAAUUUUGAUCCCAUGGAUGGCUAGAUGCUGCAUCCAUAGUGAUGAAUGCGAGAGAGGUGAUGUUUCUCCCGCCCCAUCCCUUAGAUGUUUACCUUAAUAACAAGUGGCCAGAUGACCUAAACCGAUUCAAAUUGCAUUUUGUGUCUUGGCCUUUUUUCCACAUUUAAAACACAGACGUUGUAAAAGUUGAAUCAAUGUUUGGGGUUAAAUAUCUGCAUUCAUAUGUCAAGUCAUUACAAAAGUUCAGAGAGGUGGAUUGUGUGUAAGGUGUGACGCACUACCACCAUGCCACCACCAGUACUACUGUCUGCCACGUCUAAGAUGUCUUCUGGUUCAGUGCACUAUAUGGCCUCCGAGGUGUUUAGAGACGUUGUUGACUCAGUUAAGAGGGUUAGGGUUAGUGCACUAUAUGGCCUCCG